ensembl:lncRNA
AAUUGAUAUCCUAUCUUUAGAUGCCUACCUGUCCCUCAGGGCAAUAUGGGCCUCUCCCAUGGGUUUCCCACAGAGGUUAGCAUCCCAGAUAGACCUAGUAUUUUCAAAUAUGACCCAAUUGUUGGACAAUUUUUUUUCUGUAUUCAACAGUUGGAAUGCACAUAAGGAUAAAAGAAGAGAGGCUGAAAAAAAAAGACCAACAUUGAAAAUUAUGGUUAUUGCAAUUGGCAAAGCUUUAAGCAUAUCCAAGGCAUCUGAGGGAAAACCCAGGGCCAAUGAUACAUCUUGGAUGGCUGUAUACCAUUCAUGUACGAGUGCAGCUAGAGACAGGUGGAGGAACACAGUCCUGCUGAAAAAUGCUGACCUCUCAAUCUUGGAUAUGCUUAUGAACAUUUACGAACAUGAUCAGAUCAACCCUCAGAUCCCAUAUUCCUAAAGGAUACCAUUAAGAGCAGCUUCCUGUAUCAUGGCGCCAAAGUGUACACAAUGAGUGAGUCACCCAGAGUCCUCAGCUAACUAGACUGACUUCUUCUGUAAUUUCUACUGCCUGCGAGCUGCAUUCAAAGGAUCCUGGGGGACCAACAAGCCACGCAAUGUCAACAAAACAUGGAGGAAGCUUGCAUUAGGGAAGAAGAUUUUGGGUUGGAUGAGCUGUCAAAUGAGACUUGCUGGCCAGAGAAUAGAAUCCUCCUUUGUCAGGAGACUGUGACCUUUGAAGAUGUAGCUGUGAAUUUUACCAAGGCAGAAUGGACUUUGCUGAAUCUACCCCAAAAGAAGCUCUACAGAGAUGUGAUGUGGGAAACAUGUAUGCAUAUGACUGCUAGAGGAAGAACUUGUGGUAACCAGUAUAUGGAAGAACAGUAUAAAAAUUGUUCAAGAGCCACUAUUUCUACUCUGUGAGAAGCACACUGACAUUUAUCUAGCUAUAUUAUUUCCCAUUGUAAUACAUCUUACACGAUACUUUCCAGCAUCUGCAUUGUAAGCAAUAAUGCAUUUUUUUUCAAUUUUGUCCUUGUUCUUCCUCUACCUCCAACUCUGAAACUGUCACUCUUAUACCCCCAACAGACUCAUAUAAAAGUUUUAUAAAACUUUUAUUUUUUUUUCCAAUGACUACUGAAGGAAUUGAAAACAAGUGCAAUGUUUUUAUAUCAGUCAGUCUCAAUAAUAUAUAUGUAAUAUAUAAUCAUAUUCCAUGGAAGAUGAGUUAUCUUUGGCAUGGUUUAUGCCAUGUCUCAGAUUUACCUGAAGAAUUCUUGUGGUAUAACACAAUAAAAAUACCAUGUGGGCCAAAUAGACAUUCUAUUUUAUGUUGUGUAAUAAUGUACAUUAGGGAAGUAAGACAUUAAUAAUACUUUGUAAAACAAAUGAAUGAAAUAAAAGAGGUUAAAUUACUUCCCUAGACUUAUAACUGUUAAGAAGAAGCCAACAAUUUUUCCAAAAACUAAGUCAAACCUGUUAGUGCAGAUGAAAGGAGGAAUAAAUACUUUUAAAUGAAAAUAUUCC